rnacentral:rRNA from 1 species
GUCUUUUGAAUAAUAAUUUAAAGUCUGGCCUGCCAAAUGAUAAUUUAAAUGGCCGCGGUAUUUUGACCGUGCAAAGGUAGCAUAAUCAUUAGUUUUUUAAUUGAAAGCUUGUAUGAAAGGUUGAACGAGAAAAUUACUGUCUCAAUUUUAUUUAAUAAGAAUUUUAUUUUUAAGUUAAAAAGCUUAAAUAAUUUUAAAAGACGAGAAGACCCUAUAGAGUUUUAUAUUUUUAAUAAUAGAUUUUUAAAUUAUUUUUUUAAUUAUUUAGAAUAUUUUAUUGGGGUGAUAAAUAAAUUUAAUAAACUUUAUUUUUUUUUAAAACAUUUAUUUAUGUUAAUAAUGAUCCAAAUUUUUUGAUUAUAAGAUUAAAUUACCUUAGGGAUAACAGCGUAAUUUUUUUUGAGAGUUCAUAUCGAAAAGAAAGAUUGCGACCUCGAUGUUGGAUUAAAAUUUAUUUUUGGUGUAGAAGCUAAAAAAUUAAGUCUGUUCGACUUUUAAAAUUUUACAUGAUCUGAGUUUAAACCGGUGUGAGCCAGGUUGGUUUCUAUCUUUAAAUAAUAGAAAAUAUUUUAGUACGAAAGGACCAAAUAUUUAUAAAAUUUAUUUUGUUAUUGAAUAUUAUUGUUAUUUUGGCAGAUUAGUGCAUUAAAUUUAGAAUUUAAUUAUGUAAUUUAUUACAAAUAAUACUUGUUUUAUAAGGAUUUAAUUUUAAUAUUUAUUAGAAGUUUAUUAUUAGUAAUUUGUAUCUUAAUU